rnacentral:rRNA from 1 species
GCGGCAGGCUUAACACAUGCAAGUCUAACGCUGUAGCAAUACAGAGUGGCAGACGGGUGAGUAACGCGUGGGAACGUGCCUUUCGGUUCGGAAUAACUCAGGGAAACUUGAGCUAAUACCGGAUACGCCCUUCGGGGGAAAGAUUUAUUGCCGAAAGAUCGGCCCGCGUCCGAUUAGCUAGUUGGUGAGGUAAUGGCUCACCAAGGCGACGAUCGGUAGCUGGUCUGAGAGGAUGAUCAGCCACACUGGGACUGAGACACGGCCCAGACGCCUACGGGAGGCAGCAGUGGGGAAUAUUGGACAAUGGGCGCAAGCCUGAUCCAGCCAUGCCGCGUGAGUGAUGAAGGCCCUAGGGUUGUAAAGCUCUUUCGCCAGGGACGAUAAUGACGGUACCUGGAUAAGAAGCCCCGGCUAACUUCGUGCCA